AAGACUAGAAGCUUUCCCAUUUUUGUUUUCUCCUCCUCCCCGUGAAUAAUCAACCAUGAAACCGACUUCUCCCAUCUUUUCUCUUUUACACUAAUUUCUUCAAAUUUCAUCUCUAAUCAACUCUCCAUCUUCUCCCAACACCUUUCCAAAGAAGAAUUUGAAGAAAAGAAGGGAAAUUAAAGAGAAAUUUCAAGGGUGAGGGGGAAUGAAUAGUAACCAAGGAUUAGGAAUUGAAAGAAGUGGAAAGGAAAAGUGAAAAUUCCAAAGGGAAAGAAAAUGAAGAGUAGAGAAGUAAAGCUUGUAGAAUAUUUUGGAAAUUCUAAGGUUUGUGCUCAACCCCAUUUGAAUCAAUUCAAGAAUUUGUUAAUUAGGUUUUAUUUGAAAUUUUACUACCCUAAUAGAAAGACCAAGUGAAUAAUAGAUUAAUUAUAUUUGUAUAAUAAAAGUUUGAGAAAUAAUAGAUUUAAUAGAUAGAAAAUUUUAAAAUUAAUAUGUAAUUUAAUCACAAAUUAGGUUAUGGAACAAAUGAAAUGACUUAUAUUCUUGGAUAGAAAAAGAACUUGGUUAGAUAUAGGAACAAGAAAAAAAAAAGAAGAAGAAGAAAGAAUUUUAGAAAAAAAAAAAAAAGAAGAGAAA